rnacentral:rRNA from 1 species
UCAAAGAUUAAGCCAUGCAUGCAAAUUACCCAAUCCCGACACGGGGAGGUAGUGACAAUAAAUACUGAUACAGGGCUCUUUAGGGUCUUGUAAUCGGAAUGAGUACAAUUUAAAUCCCUUGACGAGGAACAAUUGGAGG